CGAGUCGCCUCCGCACGCCCAAGGCGGGCCUCGGCGUGCGGCCCCACCGCGGUCGGCCGCGCGCCUGUUGACCCGCCAGGCCUGGUCUGAACCGGCGUGCCCGGCGCUGUCUGACCUGAGACCGCACGGUGGAGCCCCGGGUUGGGGCUCAGUGUGGACCCCGCCUCCGAGACCCGAACGCGAGACUUGCCCCCCCAGCCUUGGGCUUGGUGAAAGUUUUAGCCAAACAAAGGGGAACAAAAGGCAUCGUAGUUGGAUAACAUUCACAUUUGAAACAAAUAGCCAUGGUUUACCCAGAAUCAUGCAAAUUCUUGAUAGACUAGCUUUAACUCCUUUCAGCUCCACUCAAAAAAAAAAAAGAAUGCAAAGUAAAAGAAGAUACUAUUGGAAAACAAGUAAUUUAUUUCAACCCUGACCUGGAAUGACAGAGAUGUGGCUUGAGGAGAAAGAUAUGUUCCAGAUAAAAUCUCAGAAUUAGAAAAUUUAUAGAGCAGACCUGAGACUGACCCUCACCGUGGACAGCACUGCAGCAAGCUGACCUGCAGCUACUGAUGUGAAACAAGAAUAAAACAAAAAUAUUUGUUGUGAAUCAGAGAUUUUUAAGAUUGUUAAAUAGCAUAAUUUUUCAAAUCAUCUAAAGAGAAUUUGAGCCAACAAAUUAGUGGUUCAAAGGCUAAAUGUACUAUGGAACAAUAAUA